AUGUGGAGAACAAAGGCUAAGUGCGCCACGUCCUGUGGCAAAGCCUUUGUGACCAACAUCCUGUUGG
rnacentral:sRNA from 1 species